rnacentral:sRNA from 1 species
ACUGAGUAUGAUGGCAUGUACUUGCCAUUCCAGCUACUCCGGAGGCUGAGGCAGGAGGAUCGAUGGAGCCCAGGAGAUGGAGGCCAGCCUAGGCAACAUAAUGAUAUCCUGUCUCAA